rnacentral:rRNA from 1 species
AGCAGCCGCGGUAAUUCCAGCUCCAAUAGCGUAUAUUAAAGUUGUUGCAGUUAAAAAGCUCGUAGUUGAAUUUCGGGAUCAUCAGGUUGGUCGUGCCUCUGGUAUGUACUGAUUUCGAUGGUUCCUCCUUCUUGAAGAACCGUAAUGCCAUUAAUUUGGUGUUGCGGGGAAACAGGACUGUUACUUUGAAAAAAUUAGAGUGUUUAAAGCAGGCAAUCGCUUGAAUACAUUAGCAUGGAAUAAUGAAAUAGGACGUUCGAUCCUAUUUUGUUGGUUUCUAGGAUUGACGUAAUGAUUAAUAGGGAUAGUUGGGGGCAUUAGUAUUCAAUUGUCAGAGGUGAAAUUCUUGGAUUUAUUGAAGACUAACUACUGCGAAAGCAUUUGCCAAGGAUGUUUUCAUUAAUCAAGAACGAAAGUUAGGGGAUCGAAGACGAUCAGAUACCGUCGUAGUCUUAACCAUAAACUAUGCCGACUAGGGAUCGGAUGAUGUAAUUUUUAAUGA